rnacentral:rRNA from 1 species
AGCGAACGCUAGCGGCGCGCUUAACACAUGCAAGUCGAGCGAGGCGUAAUAGUCGAGCGGCGAACGGGUGCGUAAUACAUGGGAAUCUACCUCGAAGUGGGGGAUAACGUCCAGAAAUGGACGCUAAUACCGCAUAAUCCAUAUUGGGAAAGCGUUGCAGCGCUUUGAGAUGAGCCCAUGGCUGAUUAGCUAGUUGGUGAGGUAAUGGCUCACCAAGGCGACGAUCAGUAGCUGGUCUGAGAGGAUGACCAGCCACACUGGAACUGAGACACGGUCCAGACUCCUACGGGAGGCAGCAGUGGGGAAUCUUGCGCAAUGGGGGCAACCCUGACGCAGCCAUACCGCGUGAGUGAUGAAGGUCUUCGGAUUGUAAAGCUCUUUCGGCGGGGACGACGAUGACGGUACCCGCAAAAGAAGUCACGGCUAACUUCGUGCCAGCCGCCGCCGUAA